rnacentral:tRNA from 1 species
GGACCCGUGGUGUAGCGGCCUAACAUGUCACCCUGUCACGGUGAAGAUCGCCGGUUCGAAUCCGGUCGGGUCCG